GACGAACGCUGGCGGCGUGCUUAACACAUGCAAGUCGAACGGAAAGGCCCUGCUUUUGUGGGGUGCUCGAGUGGCGAACGGGUGCGUAACACGUGAGUAACCUGCCCUUGACUUUGGGGUAGCUUCAGGAAACUGGGGCUAAUACCGGAUAGGAGCUCCUGCUGCAUGGUGGGGGUUGGAAAGUUUCGGCUGGUGGGGAUGGACUCGCGGCUUAUCAGCUUGUUGGUGGGGGAGUGGCUUACCAAGGCUUUGACGGGUAGCCGGCCUGAGAGGGUGGACGGGCACCUUGGGCCUACGGUACGGCGCAGACUGCUACGUGAGGCAGCGGGGGGGAGUAUUGCCCAAUGGGCGCAAGUCUGAGGCAGAAACGCUGCGUUCGUGAUGACGGCCUUCGGGUUGUAAACAGCUUUCGCCUGUGACGCAGCGUUAGUGACGGUACCGGGUAAAGAAGCACCGGCUAACUACGUG
rnacentral:rRNA from 1 species